GAAUCUUGCGCAAUGGGCGAAAGCCUGACGCAGCCAUGCCGCGUGAAUGAUGAAGGUCUUAGGAUUGUAAAAUUCUUUCACCGGGGAAGAUAAUGACGGUACCCGCAGAGGAAGCACCGGCUAACUCCGUGCCAGCAGCCGCGGUAAUACGGAGGGUGCGAGCGUUGUUCGGAAUUAUUGGGCGUAAAGCGCGCGCAGGCGGUGGUUUAAGUCUACCUGUGAAAGACCGGGGCUCAACCCCGUGUUGGCAGGAGAUACUGGGCCGCUGGAGACAGGCAGAGGCGAGUGGAAUUCCGGGUGUAGCGGUGGAAUGCGUAGAGAUCCGGAAGAACACCAGAGGCGAAGGCGACUCGCUGGGCCUGGUCUGACGCUGAGGCGCGAAAGCGUGGGGAGCGAACAG
rnacentral:rRNA from 1 species